rnacentral:lncRNA from 1 species
CGGCACGUAAUGAAACACGUUCACCAAAUACAGCAUAAAUGUCUUCUAUUAUUCUUUUGCAUCUGAUCCUGUAAACACAGAAGCCUGCCCUGGUAUUACACACUUCCUGUGCUGUUCUUGCUAGCUGCUGAAGUGUUAAUUAAGGUACUUUCAUCAACAGUAGCUCACAGAAUGGGACUGCACUGUUGCCAGAUCCAUAAUGCUGAAGGUCUCCUUUCAGAUGACUUUCAGAGGAGCAGAUUUUCAAGUCCAAGAACUGAAAUCCAACUCCUAAAUCAGAAGAUUCUCCGAAGGGGACAAGAAAUACAUUAACGAGUACAGAGGACAUUUUUUACUAAGAGGAAAGAGUUUUUUGAGCUGCUCUGAGAGAAGAAAUCUCUCAGGCUGAAUUCAGACAAGCUUUUAAGUACUAAUCAACUCAAAAGGUUUGAGUUCAAUGAGACAUUUCACAUGCUUAAGCUGAGACUUUUUUA